AAGCCAGCCAAUUAGUCUGCUUAUCUCAAUGUGUUUACGCAGAAAUUAGAAAAGGUUGGCAAUAGUAAUGCCAUGUUAUGAGCCUUAAGGACAGCCGCAGUCUUUAAAGUCCCUGAAAAUGGCUACAGUA